GUUAGUCUCCUUCGGGCAAAAUUAAAAGUAGAGGAAAUGGUCAUCGUCCUAUACCUUUGCAGAAAAUUUAAAUGGCGCAAGAAGGCUUUCAGAUUGCGCCCUCCCCUCCAUCAAAAUAAAAGACUUAUUCUGGUGUGUCCACAUCUCAUCCUUCGACGUAACGUACUGAAGAGUCAUGUAUGUCCUCUGCUUAACCUCAGCUUGUAUUUGGACUCGACGAUUUUCCGUAACCAGAGCAGAAAGGUAGACAAUAUGAAGAAGAACGAAUUUUCUUUGUAA